rnacentral:rRNA from 3 species
AGAGUUUGAUCCUGGCUCAGGAUGAACGCUGGCGGCGUGCCUAAUACAUGCAAGUCGAGCGAACGGACGAGAAGCUUGCUUCUCUGAUGUUAGCGGCGGACGGGUGAGUAACACGUGGAUAACCUACCUAUAAGACUGGGAUAACUUCGGGAAACCGGAGCUAAUACCGGAUAAUAUUUUGAACCGCAUGGUUCAAAAGUGAAAGACGGUCUUGCUGUCACUUAUAGAUGGAUCCGCGCUGCAUUAGCUAGUUGGUAAGGUAACGGCUUACCAAGGCAACGAUGCAUAGCCGACCUGAGAGGGUGAUCGGCCACACUGGAACUGAGACACGGUCCAGACUCCUACGGGAGGCAGCAGUAGGGAAUCUUCCGCAAUGGGCGAAAGCCUGACGGAGCAACGCCGCGUGAGUGAUGAAGGUCUUCGGAUCGUAAAACUCUGUUAUUAGGGAAGAACAUAUGUGUAAGUAACUGUGCACAUCUUGACGGUACCUAAUCAGAAAGCCACGGCUAACUACGUGCCAGCAGCCGCGGUAAUACGUAGGUGGCAAGCGUUAUCCGGAAUUAUUGGGCGUAAAGCGCGCGUAGGCGGUUUUUUAAGUCUGAUGUGAAAGCCCACGGCUCAACCGUGGAGGGUCAUUGGAAACUGGAAAACUUGAGUGCAGAAGAGGAAAGUGGAAUUCCAUGUGUAGCGGUGAAAUGCGCAGAGAUAUGGAGGAACACCAGUGGCGAAGGCGACUUUCUGGUCUGUAACUGACGCUGAUGUGCGAAAGCGUGGGGAUCAAACAGGAUUAGAUACCCUGGUAGUCCACGCCGUAAACGAUGAGUGCUAAGUGUUAGGGGGUUUCCGCCCCUUAGUGCUGCAGCUAACGCAUUAAGCACUCCGCCUGGGGAGUACGACCGCAAGGUUGAAACUCAAAGGAAUUGACGGGGACCCGCACAAGCGGUGGAGCAUGUGGUUUAAUUCGAAGCAACGCGAAGAACCUUACCAAAUCUUGACAUCCUUUGACAACUCUAGAGAUAGAGCCUUCCCCUUCGGGGGACAAAGUGACAGGUGGUGCAUGGUUGUCGUCAGCUCGUGUCGUGAGAUGUUGGGUUAAGUCCCGCAACGAGCGCAACCCUUAAGCUUAGUUGCCAUCAUUAAGUUGGGCACUCUAAGUUGACUGCCGGUGACAAACCGGAGGAAGGUGGGGAUGACGUCAAAUCAUCAUGCCCCUUAUGAUUUGGGCUACACACGUGCUACAAUGGACAAUACAAAGGGCAGCGAAACCGCGAGGUCAAGCAAAUCCCAUAAAGUUGUUCUCAGUUCGGAUUGUAGUCUGCAACUCGACUACAUGAAGCUGGAAUCGCUAGUAAUCGUAGAUCAGCAUGCUACGGUGAAUACGUUCCCGGGUCUUGUACACACCGCCCGUCACACCACGAGAGUUUGUAACACCCGAAGCCGGUGGAGUAACCUUUUAGGAGCUAGCUGUCGAAGGUGGGACAAAUGAUUGGGGUGAAGUCGUAACAAGGUAGCCGUAUCGGAAGGUGCGGCUGGAUCACCU